AGUGAUCCUCGUGUCCUCAUCCUGGAGGACAACACUCCCAUCAGGAGAGAAAUGUGUCCUCAUCAGGAUCAAGCUGAUCAGAUUUGUGUUGAUCUUCAGAAAACUGAACUCUAUCUGAAGAUCAGAAAUCAGCUGCUGGAGAAGAUGAUGUGUGAGAGUCGGACACUUUUUCUGGAACAUCUUGAGAAACUAGAAAUGAAAAACACAAACAUCUGAUUACAGCAGUUCUGUACAAGAAUGAUGCUCGCAACACAAGAUCACGGGUUCAGAUCUGAUUCAGAUAAAAACUCUAUCAGAGAUUAGAGAAGGAGAAACAGUGUUGAUGAUUAAAGACAUGAAAGUGUGUUUGUCUUCAACAUCAUAAAAACUCACAGUUUGGUCUGAAGUAAUGAAAGCUGUUUCUUCUGACUAACAUCAGAGUCUUUUCCUCUCCUGGUUCUUUAGGUUGUGUCUUGUUAUUUUUCUCUUUCAUUCUCUUCUUGUCUUUCAUCUGUAGAUCGCUCCUUUAGACAUUUAUAUAGUCUACAUUUAUAGGCGGGGACUUGAGCUGACGUGUACAUACGCUGUAUGUGUUGCAUCAAUGAUUGGUCAACAGACAGACAGACAAGUCCCCGCCUAUAAAUGUAGACUAUAUAUAUAUAUCAAAUUGAAAGAAAAAAAUAUCACACAAAAUGCCUAUCAGUAUAUUGGAUUAAAGACACUGACGUGAUUUUGCAGGAACGUUUCUUUGGAGUGAAGUUUCAAACGACGACGGCUUUUGGCCAUGCAUUGGAUUUACAGCUCUUAAUGUCAGCAGCUCUGGCGGGUUUGGUCUGAAAUUCCAGAAACAGAAGCAGUUUACAGUGGAUGAACUCGAAGGCUUGGUUGCAUUCACAUUUGGGUCUGACUGCAAAGAAAGCGAAGAUUCCACGUUCACAUACACGGCCCUGGCUAAGCACACAAAGGGACCCCAUACAACUCAACUUAAUUUCAUUUACUCCAGGGUUGUUAGAUGUAGCUCAGUUGAGCUCUUAAUCGACUUCAAGAAAUUCACCUGCCGAUCGAGUCUUCGCUGAAGUAAGCAGAAUGUCAGGUAAUUCAUAAUUCGUCGAAAGUUUGGGUUUAAUAAGUUACGGAGUUGGGUGUAAAGCGUUAUGUGUUGCUGUAAUCUAAUUACUUUCCUGAUAACGCAGUAAAUGCAUUACAGUUUAAAUUUAUGUAAUAUGAUUGCAGUUACUAAAGUUACAAAUGCAGUAUUAAUAAAAAAAGAAGAAAAAUUCAUUUUUAAAUCCCGUUGAAAUCAUGUCUUCAGCCAAUCACAUUACUUCUCUGGUGUUGCAUAGAUUGCUUAUAAACUACGAACCAUCAGAAUUGAAGUAAUGUGAUUGGCUGAUGAGGCAGAGUGCUUAUAAACUAAAAGAAAAUGUAAUUUAAAUGUAUUUAAUUUUUUUCUUUAUAUUUCAUUUAAGGUAAUGUCUUUUCAAUAAUUGUGUCUCUCACUGUAAAUUUGCUAUUCUGUUUAUUCUUGUUAGGGUGGAACUGUUUAAACAUUACAUCUGCACUUUAUUAAAAACCCUCUGUAACAUUUGAUUAUUAACAUUAAUUAUAACUAGUUAUGAUUAAUUAUUCAUAUUGCCCAAUUGAGUUGUUUCGCUACACCUCACUAAUUUCACAUAGUUUUCCAAAUCACAGUAAAAUUAAAACUUAAAGCUAAAGUUCAAGUAAAUGUUUAUUUGGCCAUCUGACAGUAAAAUGAAAAUAUGUGACUUUGCAAAUCCAUUAAAAUAAUUUGUGUGUUGUUUUUUUUUCUCCAUCUCAAAAUGUUUAUGAAGAGGAGACUUUCACCUUUAGAGAAAACAUUAUUAGGAAGGAUAUCCCUAAAUGAAUCUGGAUUUGUUUAAUACUGCUUUAACCAGUUUUUCUUAGAAGUAUGAUUUAAGGAGGUAAAAUCUUAGAUUCAUAUUUAUUUCUAAGAACAGACGUAUGCUUCCACAGAAAGUUUAUUGUCUCUGACAGAAUCACAGACUGCUCUGGUGUGAACACCACAUGCUUUAGUCGUUUCACACUGCUUUCAUGUGCACACUCAUAUUUCUGGAAACAAUGUGAACCAGGAAAAUAAAAGAUCAGAAAGUGAAAGCUCUUUGUGUGGAUGUGUCCUAAACUGUGCUUCCAUAUUAUUUGUAACAGAUAAUCUUUAAGGAGACAUGACUAAGUGACUAAAGGAGCGAUCUGCAGAUGAAAGACAAGAAGAGAAUGAAAGAGAAAAAUAACAAGACACAACCUAAAGAACCAGGAGAGGAAAAGACGCUGAUGUUAGUCAGAAGAAACAGCUUUCAUUACUUCAGACCAAACUUUUCUCAAGAUGUUCCAGAAAAAGUGUCCGACUCUCACACAUCAUCAUCUCCAGCAGCUGAUUUCUGAUCUUCAGAUAGAGUUCAGUUUUCUGAAGAUCAACACAAAUCUGAUCAGCUUGAUCCUGAUGAGGACACAUUUCUCUCCUGAUGGGAGUGUUGUCCUCCAGGAUGAGGACACGAGGAUCACUGAAGGGUUCAGUCUCCAGAUCUAAACUCAUUUAAACAGCUGAGAGAUUGAUGAAGACAGCGCUCUGCGUCUCCAUCAAAACACCAAACCAGGAACAUCUUUAGGAAGAAGGAACGGUGAACGAGAAUGUUCUGGAAAGUGGUUCUGUGUCUCUGUGAUGCUGUAUCUAUCACACAACCUUGUUUACUUACAGACCGCAGGCCAGUGUAAUGCACAAGAAUGUAUUUUUAUACAUGUUCAUGUUUAUUUGAAUCACUGGUUACUGUAUGUACUGUACUGCUGUAUGAUAUUGGAUGUAAUAUACCGUUGAAAGCAUGAAGUCAUGAGAUAUAAAGCUUUAAUGCAGUCAUUAUCAAACAGCUAAACUGUACACUUUUAAUGUCUCCUUAAAGUCUGAUACAUGCUUUUGAAGUUGGGGAGUAAACUAGAAAUGAAUUAUUUAUAUCAAUAAGUCUGUACUACUCCAGGAAAUAAAACCAUUUCACACUUGUAAAAAUAAACACAAGAAGAAAAAAGUGUUUGUUGUGAUGAAGUAGUUUAUUGUUCAGUGGAUAAACAACAGCAAGAGUAAGAAUUGUGUUCAGACUGAACAUCAUUAAAGCAGGGAUCUGUUCUGUCUUGAGUUCUUGUACAAGAUCAGACAUUAAAACAAAGACAAUCCAGUCAUCUCCAGGAGAUCAUCAGAGUUACAGAGGAGACACAUCACAUCUACAACUACAACUACAAUAAAAAAACUCACAAAUAAAACAUCAUGACACUUAUGAGAAUGUGGAGGUAAAAUUAAAAUAUCAAAAUGUAAAAUAUUUUAUUAAUAGAAAUGAAAACCUGCUUCAAUUUAGAUCUGGACAUGUUUCUUUGAGAUUCAUAUUUGUAUUAAUAAAAUCCAUAUCAUCCUACAGCUGACAGAGUUAGAUAACAAGAACAAUGUGGUUUUACUUUUACAUUUUAUCAUUUUAAUAAAAGUUGAACAUGUUCAGGAUGAUGAUUCAUCAGACAAUGUGUUAUUAUAGGACAUAAACACAAACAUCUGCUCAUUUAGUUGUUAAAGAACAAGAUGUCAAAUAUUUAUUUUGAGAUCAAGGAAAAAUUACGAUGUGAAAACAACUUUUAAUAAGUCGUGAUGACGAAAAACGACAAGAAGAAAAAAAAAAAACCCAUGGCCUUUUAGGACUUCUAUACGCAUGCGUCAACAGAAUAUAGCUACACUUAUAAUUAUACACACAAUAAAUCAUUAU